ensembl:lncRNA
GGCCGAAAGGUCAGCGAGUGUUGGUGCUGCACAGCCAUUUGCCCCUUUCCAGAACCCCGACCCACAGGCUGCGUCUUAGUUCUCACUUUGCACGGUUUCAGCUCCAGAUUAGGAAUUUUAGAGCUAGAAGGGGGAAAUGGAGCCCAGGCUCUGCAGUUUAGAUCUUGAGUGUCCCCUGUGAAGGUUUAUAUCCCAAGUGGAGCUUUCAGAAGGCGGUUGGAGCAUGGGGGCUCUGAUGUCAUUGCUGGACCCAUUCAAUGGUAUUAUUGGGAAGGGAUGGGACUUUAGGGGAUGGGGCUUGGUCAAAGGGAGCAGGUCUUGGGGCUGUAACCUUGGAACUAUAUCUGGUCCCUGGCCCCUUCCUCCUCGCUCUUUCCCCCUCUCUUCUUCCUGGCAGCCGUGAGGUGAGCAGCUCUCCUCUGCCAUGACUGUCUGCCAUGAUGCUUCUUCCUCACCACAGCCCUACAGCCAGGGAGCCCUCUGAAACCUCUGAGACUAUGAACCAAGCUCUGGCUCCAUCAUUUCUUGCAACCACGUCCAGGUGGAUCAUCUUCAGCACUGCCCAUCUCAACCCUGAACCCAUCUCCUCCUGGGAAGUCAAUCGGCAAGUUGUCAGCACUGGCCUCAGCAGGAAGCUUUCGUCCCUCAACUCUUCCUGCCAAAAGCUCGGCAAAGCCCACUCCGUCUGGCCUGGAUCCCAAGGGACUGAUAGUCGGGUAGAAUUUCAUGAGAAGACCUGCGAAUCAAACAGCCCCAAAUGCAGCUGCCAGCAUUGGCAGGAAGAGAGCAUCUCUCUCACGGAAGGAGUCAGCACUGGCAGAGGGCCACACGCUGGGCUGUGGCAGAGGCAAGUGAAGCUUCGGGGGCUGGGGUGUGUGCCUUCUUACA